GGCUAGUGGCUGCCUCCAGGGAGGGAGUUGGUGGUUAAAGACAGGGGAAGAGAAGGGCUCCUCUCCUCCACUGUUGGGUGUGGUGAUCUGCAGCUUCUGGGGAGUUUUUGCAUUAUGGCUUGUGAUCUCCAAGUAGACCCUGUGACAUGAGCUGAAUAGAGAGGUUCCACAGCUGAGGACAUUUGCAUUUACAAGAAGGGACAUGCCAGAGAUAGCAGACCUGGGACAGUAAUGCAGCUGCUUCCUGAGGACAGAGACCACCAAUUCCUGAGACCUCUAGUCACACCCUGGACCACUGAACCACUGGCUACCCCCAAGCUCUUCCUCAAACUUAAUGACCAAGCAUUUCUGCAUGGAGAAGAGCUGACACCUUAGAAGAGGUGGCUGAACACAAGGGCUCAGGUCCUUGAUCAGCUCUGUCUCUAUUAUGGUUCAGUCCCUGACCCCAAAUGAGAUGCACUUUACAUCAAAGAAGCUCCUCUGGAGGACAAGAUGAGAUUCGGCUGUGAGGCCACACUUAAGCAAGUUCCCAGUGCCAGCUACCUUGUGGUGGACCUUCCUGGUGUUGAGGACAGCAUUCUUCAGACCAGCAUCCACCUGGCUCUCCAACUGAAUCAGAACACAGGACAUUCCAAACCAACUGUCACUGCCAAGAGUCAUCCUUUCAACUGACAAGGCUGGGCAAGCAGUUCCUGGUGACUCCUCUUAUAGAAGCCAGGACCAUGGCGUGAGGUAGAGGCUGCAGUCCGCCUCCCAGCUGGGGAGUCCCUGAGUGGGCAGAGUGGGCACCUCCUGCCAGUGGCAGCUCCACAGCCCAGAGCACAAGGGCAGUCCAGGCCCAGCCAGCCGUCAGAGCAGGACCAGGCCACCCCUCCUGCAACACAGCACACCUGGCACUUCACCAGCUUCUUCAUCCAUCAGCUCCUGUCUUUCCUUAACCACUCAAAGUAACGAUGAAGGGGAAAAUUCUGUUUAUCGUCAGCUCCUUAUAAAUCAUCAGCAAACAAAUCAUGUUAGAAACAAAGGGCAAAAGUCAAA